rnacentral:rRNA from 1 species
GAUGAACGCUGGCGGCGUGCCUAAUACAUGCAAGUCGAGCGAACAGAUGAGGAGCUUGCUCCUCUGACGUUAGCGGCGGACGGGUGAGUAACACGUGGAUAACCUACCUAUAAGACUGGGAUAACUUCGGGAAACCGGAGCUAAUACCGGAUAAUAUAUUGAACCGCAUGGUUCAAUAGUGAAAGACGGUUUUGCUGUCACUUAUAGAUGGAUCCGCGCCACAUUAGCUAGUUGGUAAGGUAACGGCUUACCAAGGCAACGAUGCGUAGCCGACCUGAGAGGGUGAUCGGCCACACUGGAACUGAGACACGGUCCAGACUCCUACGGGAGGCAGCAGUAGGGAAUCUUCCGCAAUGGGCGAAAGCCUGACGGAGCAACGCCGCGUGAGUGAUGAAGGUCUUCGGAUCGUAAAACUCUGUUAUUAGGGAAGAACAUAUGUGUAAGUAACUAUGCACGUCUUGACGGUACCUAAUCAGAAAGCCACGGCUAACUACGUG